UGAGGAAUAUUGGUCAAUGGACGCAAGUCUGAACCAGCCAAGUCGCGUGAAGGAAGACUGCCCUACGGGUUGUAAACUUCUUUUGUACUAGAGUAAAACAGAGUAUGUAUACUCUCUUGCAAGUAUAGUACGAAUAAGCAUCGGCUAACUCCGUGCCAGCAGCCGCGGUAAUACGGAGGAUGCGAGCGUUAUCCGGAUUUAUUGGGUUUAAAGGGUGCGUAGGCGGGUUCUUAAGUCAGCGGUGAAAGUUUGAGGCUUAACCUUAAAAUUGCCGUUGAAACUGGGUACCUUGAGUGUAAAUGAAGUAGGCGGAAUUCGUAGUGUAGCGGUGAAAUGCAUAGAUAUUACGAAGAACCCCGAUUGCGCAGGCAGCUUACUAAGCUACAACUGACGCUGAAGCACGAAAGCGUGGGUAUCAAACA
rnacentral:rRNA from 1 species